rnacentral:rRNA from 1 species
GGUUGUACCAUGCUGAAUAUACCGGUUCUCGUUAGAUCACCGAAGUCAAGCAUCACUGGGCGCGGUCAGUACUUGGGUGGGUGACCACCUGGGAACACCGCGUGCCGUU